rnacentral:rRNA from 1 species
AUGAACGCUGGCGGCGUGCCUAAUACCUGCAAGUCGAGCGAACGGACGAGAAGCUUGCUUCUCUGAUGUUAGCGGCGGACGGGUGAGUAACACGUGGAUAACCUACCUAUAAGACUGGGAUAACUUCGGGAAACCGGAGCUAAUACCGGAUAAUAUUUUGAACCGCAUGGUUCAAAAGUGAAAGACGGCCUUGCUGUCACUUAUAGAUGGAUCCGCGCUGCAUUAGCUAGUUGGUAAGGUAACGGCUUACCAAGGCAACGAUGCAUAGCCGACCUGAGAGGGUGAUCGGCCACACUGGAACUGAGACACGGUCCAGACUCCUACGGGAGGCAGCAGUAGGGAAUCUUCCGCAAUGGGCGAAAGCCUGACGGAGCAACGCCGCGUGAGUGAUGAAGGUCUUCGGAUCGUAAAACUCUGUUAUUAGGGAAGAACAUAUGUGUAAGUAACUGUGCACAUCUUGACGGUACCUAAUCAGAAAGCCACGGCUAACUACGUG